CCUACGGGAGGCAGCAGUAGGGAAUCUUCCACAAUGGGCGAAAGCCUGAUGGAGCAACGCCGCGUGGGUGAAGAAGGUCUUCGGAUCGUAAAACCCUGUUGUUAGAGAAGAAAGUGCGUGAGAGUAACUGUUCACGUUUCGACGGUAUCUAACCAGAAAGCCCCGGCUAACUACGUGCCAGCAGCCGCGGUAAUACGUAGGUGGCAAGCGUUAUCCGGAUUUAUUGGUCGUAAAGGGAACGCAGGCGGUCUUUUAAGUCUGAUGUGAACGCCUUCGGCUUAACCGGAGUAGUGCAUUGGAAACUGGGUGACUUGAGUGCAGAAGAGGAGAGUGGAACUCCAUGGGUAGCGGUGAAAUGCGUAGAUAUAUGGAAGAACACCAGUGGCGAAAGCGGCUCUCUGGUCUGUAACUGACGCUGAGGUUCGAAAGCGUGGGUAGCAAACAGGAUUAGAUACCCUAGUAGUC
rnacentral:rRNA from 1 species